rnacentral:lncRNA from 1 species
UCUAAGUCAGAAUCUCCAAGGAGCCUGAACAGCUGCGGAAGCUCUUCAUCAGAGGACUGGGCUUCUAUACAACCAACGAGAGUCUGAGGAGCCAUUUUGAGCAAUGGGAAACACUAACUGUGGUAAUGAGAAAUCCAAACACCAAGAGAUCCAGGGGCUUUGGGUUUGUCACACACACCACUGUGGAAGAAGUGGAUGCUGCCAUGAAUGCAAGACCACAUAAAGUACAUGGAAGAGUUGUGGAACCUAAGAGAGCUGUGUCAAGAGAAGAUAUCAGAGACCAGGUGCCCACUUAACUGUGAAAAUGAUCUUUGUUGGUGGUAUUAAAGAAGACACUGAAGAACAUCACCUACGAGAUUAUUUUGAGCAGUAUGGGAAGAUUGAAGUGAUAGAAAUUAUGACUGAUAGAGGCAGUAGAAAAAAGAGGGUCUUUGAAUUUGUCACCUUUAAUGACCAUGACUCUGUGGGUAAGAUUGUCAUUCAGAAAUACCAUAC